rnacentral:rRNA from 2 species
UAUCCAUUUACACCUGUGAACCGUUUGAUUGACACUCUGUGUUGAUUUUACAAACAAUAUGUAAAGAAAGUCAAGUUAUUAUAACAAAAAAUAACUUUCAACAACGGAUCUCUUGGCUCUCGCAUCGAUGAAGAACGCAGCGAAAUGCGAUAAGUAAUGUGAAUUGCAGAAUUCAGUGAAUCAUCGAAUCUUUGAACGCAACUUGCGCUCUCUGGUAUUCCGGAGAGCAUGCCUGUUUGAGUGUCAUGAAAUCUCAACCAUUAGGGUUUCUUAAUGGCUUGGAUUUGGGUGUUGCCAGUCUCUGGCUCGCCUUAAAGGAGUUAGCGAGUUUAACAAUGUCGUCUGGCGUAAUAAGUUUCGCUGGUAAGACUUGUGAAGUUUGCUUCUAAUCGUCUUCGGACAAUUACUUUGACUCUGGCCUCAAAUCAGGUAGGACU